rnacentral:rRNA from 1 species
UAAUACGGGGGGGGCAAGCGUUAUUCGGAUUUACUGGGCGUAAAGCGCACGUAGGCGGCAUGAUAAGUCAAAGGUGAAAUCCCUCGGCUCAACCGAGGAACUGCCUUUGAAACUGCCUUGCUUGAGUCCGGGAGGGGGGAGCGGAAUUCCCAGUGUAGCGGUGAAAUGCGUAGAUACUGGGAGGAACACCGGUGGCGAAGGCGGCUCCCUGGACCGGUACUGACGCUGAGGUGCGAAAGCGUGGGUAGCAAACAGGAUUAGAUACCCUGGUAGUCCACGCCGUAAACGAUGGGAACUAGGUGUGGCGGGUGUCGACCCCUGCUGUACCGAAGCUAACGCAUUAAGUUCCCCGCCUGGGGAGUACGGUCGCAAGGCUG